UACAGUGUAGUCACUUAGUUCGAACGUGGGUUCUACGAGGCAUAGAACACGAUCCCCCGCCCGCCGCCGAUCCACGUGAGCCGGCUGAUUGCGCAAUAGUGCACGCUGACUUUGACCCCCGUGCAGGCAUGCAUAUCCGGGUCACAGGCGCUUCAUAUUUCAGAGGCAACAUGGCCACGGUAGAAGGAACACGUGAACGUAAAAAAACACCCGAAAAUGCGCAUUUUCUUGGUCAGAGCCGCAUUUUUCCCCGUAGAAGAGUGGAUAAGUGCCUUCGUCAUUGAACAUCCGACUUAGGCUUGACAAGUGCUGGGAGAAAAUGAAGUACCAGGAAUGAGAAGAGGAUGACAACUCACACAAGUCCUUAUUCAAGGUAGCCCCAAGGCCAGACUAUGCUGACAGCAUAGCCCAGUCUCCAGCCAUGAAAAGCUGAGGUUCACUGUUAUCUGGGGAACAUGAAAUUAGGAAUACUUUAGAUCCAGGUCAUACUGCUGUCCAUGGUGGCUACUAAGAGAGUCCUGUCAGAAUGUGGAUAGUGUCCAACUCCAACUUCCUCAAUGUCCAUGCCAGGUUCUGUGAUGUCCCAGAGUUGACUCACUAGCUAGAUUUUUACAUCACCACUGCUAGCUGCAGUUCAGUUUCCCCUAGUAAAUGAACUUGUCACCUUGCAUGGUUUGUGUGCAUUUAUGUUAAAUACAGACUAAGAUUGGUGACAGUUAUUCCACAUAUCACUGCCUCCUAGCAUCAUGAUAUGACAAAUGUUCAGUCUGUUGACAGAUUAAAAGAGGAAUUUUGCUUCCGUGAAGUAACCUUUUUAACUCACUUAUCUUGUUGCAUUGUAUAAAUUAGUUCAUGAUCCUUGUAAAGACUUGUUUUGAAUAAAGGAUGCAGCAUGCAAUUUGUUGUCAGCAUAGUGUGGCCUGUAGUAGAGAUACAAAAUAGAUUGUGAAACUGAGGCAAACAUUGGGUAAAUGGGAAGUGAAAAUACAUGCAGCCCACAUGAAAGAACUACUUGCAGAAUGCAUUCUUGCAUAGUAUAACUUCUGCAUUAAAAGUCAACAAGGUUGUAAAAUGUUCACACCUAAUGUGGUAUAUGACUUCACUGAGCUGAGGAAUAUACAACUGUGCUUAUAAUUUUUUGUUCUGGUCAAGUUGGUCUUCAUUAUUCACACUUCCUAAGACCUUUAUUAUUUACACUGACAAUUAAACAUUCCCUGCAACCUGUCACAAGUUCUCAGAAUGUCCAGAAUAUAGUUGUCUCUACAUGUAGAUGCAGGUUAUUAUAAAUACAAAUGAUUUAUACAUAUGCACACAUAUCUUGGGGCUACCUUGAAUAAGGACUUGUGUGAGUUGUCAUCCUCUUCUCAUUCCUGGUACUUCAUUUUCUCCCAGCACUUGUCAAGCCUUAAACAUAGAUAACACAUGGUAAACAUGGCUUCAAGGUACAAUGGUAGGGAUAGUGGAUUACAUAAUUUUUUCCUGAUGACAUAGUUGUUGACAAAGUGGAAAUCUGAAGAGCAAUUCUUUGUCAGUAGUAUACCAGACCAAUUGAUUGUAACCGGACCACCUUUGAUUUUAUAUCCAAUGUCUGCAAGUACUAGUACCUUUUUACAUAAGCUUUUAAAAUCGUACCAGUAAUAAAACUUACACUUACUUACAGUAAGAAAAAUAUUACAGCUUUAAGUCCAAA